UACGUAGGGAGCGAGCGUUGUUCGGAGUUACUGGGCGUAAAGGGUGUGUAGGCGGUUGUUUAAGUUUGGUGUGAAAUCUCCCGGCUCAACUGGGAGGGUGCGCCGAAUACUGAAUGACUUGGAGUGCGGGAGAGGAGAGUGGAAUUCCUGGUGUAGCGGUGAAAUGCGUAGAUAUCGGGAGGAACACCUGUGGCGAAAGCGGCGCACUGGACCACAUCUGACGCUGAGGCGCGAAAGCUAGGGGAGCAAACAGG
rnacentral:rRNA from 1 species